rnacentral:rRNA from 1 species
AGUGAACGCUGGCGGUAGGCCUAACACAUGCAAGUCGAACGGCAGCACAGUAAGAGCUUGCUCUUACGGGUGGCGAGUGGCGGACGGGUGAGGAAUACAUCGGAAUCUACUUUUUCGUGGGGGAUAACGUAGGGAAACUUACGCUAAUACCGCAUACGACCUACGGGUGAAAGCAGGGGAUCUUCGGACCUUGCGCGAUUGAAUGAGCCGAUGUCGGAUUAGCUAGUUGGCGGGGUAAAGGCCCACCAAGGCGACGAUCCGUAGCUGGUCUGAGAGGAUGGUCAGCCGCACUGGAACUGAGACACGGUCCAGACUCCUACGGGAGGCAGCAGUGGGGAAUAUUGGACAAUGGGCGCAAGCCUGAUCCAGCCAUACCGCGUGGGUGAAGAAGGCCUUCGGGUUGUAAAGCCCUUUUGUUGGGAAAGAAAAGCAGCAGGUUAAUACCCCGCUGUUCUGACGGUACCCAAAGAAUAAGCACCGGCUAACUUCGUG